AGGGGAGCCGGAGAGUCGUCCGAGGCUGUGUGGACUUCAGCCGCUGAGUUUCUCACUCCAGAUCUCGAAAUGCAUCGCCAUUCCUGUCCAUUGGAUUGUAAGGUUUAUGUGGGAAAUCUUGGAGACAACGGUGACGAGACAGAAUUGGAAUGGGCUUUUGGCUAUUAUGGGCCACUCAGAAGUGUGUGGGUUGCUAGAAAGCCUCCCGGCUUUGCUUUCGUGGAGUUUGAAGAUCCCCGAGAUGCAGCCGAUGCUGUCCGAGAGCUCGAUGGGAGAACCCUGUGUGGCUGCCGAGUAAGAGUGGAACUGUCCAAUGGUGAAAAGAGAAGUCGAAAUCGAGGCCCGCCUCCCUCUUGGGAUCGUCACCCUCGAGAUGAUUAUCGUCGAAGGAGUCCUCCACCUCGCCGCAGAUCUCCAAGACGCAGAAGCUUCUCCCGUAGCCGGAGCAGGUCCCUUUCCAGAGAUAGGAGAAGACAGAGAUCACUGUCCUGGGAGAGAAAUCAUAAGCAGUCUCGAUACUUCUCUAGGUCUCGGAGCCGAUCUAGGUCAAAUGAAAGGAAAUAGAAGACCAGUU